AGAUGGACUAGGUCGGGCAGUUAGGCCCUGCUCGUCUCCCGCACUAUGGCCUUUAGCGGGGACCGAACCCCGGAGGCGUCCGGUCAGACCGCGCCGGGCCCCGGAAGCCAACUUCGAAGCCUCGUCCUGCGGGGAUAGCGGUCUCCGGCGGGCACUCGCAGGAGUGUCGCAGUCGGAGUUAGCCGGUGGUAAUCCGCCAGGCGCGGAAGCGAGCAGCGGACCACUGGACAGCUAUCGCUCGCAGGGUUGCGGGGUGGAGGACGCGACCGGGACUCCCCGACGCGGAACGCCGGGCAAUUCCGGCUGUCCGCAU
rnacentral:SRP_RNA from 1 species